CAGAAAAGGUGGUUUCUUGAUAUUACAGCGAUGGAAGCUAAAGCCACUAGCUUCUACUCCCUUUUUCAUCACCUCUUUGACACACUGGUGUAUACCUUUUCUGGCUUUAGGUGCAGGCUGUACAUCACUUCUGCUUCUUGCAGCAGCCCAAAUUUCUGGUUUCAAAGACAAAUAGUCAAGCUCUGGGAUUUUGAUGAGCUGAUGCCAGUGCUGCCUGAGGUGGGAUUUAGGACACUAAAACACACUCUGUCACAGAGAUGCUGUGGAACUUCUGACAGGAACAUGCAAGAAAAUUUUCCUGUGUUCUUCUGCACUGAAAACAAUUUGUCACUGUGGGAGAUCAGCUGGAAAUUGGAUUUCAAUUAUUUCUUCAGUUAGCUAAGCAAAACCAUAAAACAUUAUGUCAUGAAAAGAAGGCAUAUUCACAAAGGGCUUAUUUACAGCUUUGCUCUUUAGUUGAAAAUGGCUCUGUUUGUUGGAAAAUAAAAGACUGGGCAUGUGUGUUUUUAGGUAACACAUACUUUCAGACCUUCUCACUCUUGUGGAAUCUUAAUAAAAUACUGAUAAGAUAUAUGAUACCAGAGUUGCAGAUACUGCUGUGGGGA
rnacentral:lncRNA from 1 species